rnacentral:rRNA from 1 species
GGCGAGUGGCGAACGGGUGAUUAAUGUANCGGAACGUGCCCAGUAGCGGGGGAUAACUACGCGAAAGCGUAGCUAAUACCGCAUACGCCCUACGGGGGAAAGCAGGGGAUCGCAAGACCNUGCACUAUUGGAGCGGCCGAUAUCGGAUUAGCUAGUUGGUGGGGUAACGGCUCACCAAGGCGACGAUCCGUAGCUGGUUUGAGAGGACGACCAGCCACACUGGGACUGAGACACGGCCCANACUCCUACGGGAGGCAGCAGGGGGGAAUUUNGGACAANGGGGGAAACCCCGAUCCAGCCAUCCCGCGCGUGCGAUGAAGGCCUUCGGGUUGUAAAGCACUUUUGGCAGGAAAGAAACGUNAUGGGUUAAUACCNCCGUGAAACNGACGGUACCNGCAAAAUAAGCACCGGCUAACNACGUGCCAGCANCCCGCGGNAAUACGUAGGG